UUUUGUCUUAGGUUUGCUCCCUGGCUGCCUUAUCCUGCCACAAGUAAUUCUUGCUCUAUGCCUUUAUUUGCAUAUCAUGCUGGGACUGACUGAGAGGUCUCCUAAGGAAUGCACAUUUUCCUUAGAUAUCUAUGAGGAGUAUUUGAUGACCACGACCUUAUCCUUUUCUGCUGCUUCUCUGUUGCUGCCCAUGCACAUCCCCUGAUGCACAGGUGGGCUGCUGUAGUGCGCAUCUUUAGCCUCUGCUCCUCCAUCGCUGCCUGCUCCAUUGGCAUACGCAUGUAUCCCUUCAUCUUGAUCAUCACUGGAAAAGGCGAGAGUGUACAAAGUUAAACAGCAAAAAUAUAGCUGACGCUUGUCUUCUUUCUCUCUCCACAAACACAGACACGAAUUCUCUCUAGUUUCUCCAGGGGGUGAUAACAGCAAGGCUCCUUCCCUCUGGAAACAUAUACAAUUUUGCUGGAGUAAUAAAAACACCAAAGAGGAGAACCAGCAGCAGACACAGGACUGGUUUGAUUUUAUUUUCUCACCUCUGUGGAGAGCGAAGCAGUAAAAUCUUUCAAGAGGCCUGCGUCUGGGUAUCCCGCUGCUGCCUUCAGCCCCAUCUCCUGAGCAGUAGGAGUGGUGGCUUCACAGCCUUUUCAAGUUAUUCAGAAUCAGUUUCCAGUGUGCAAAUGUUAUCUAGAAGCAUGAAGACAGCUCUGGGAAAAGAAACAGCUUUGCAUCAACAUGAGACACAGCUCAUAUUCUCUUUUACAUGAGGAUGUAACUAGCUCUGUUUUACCUGACGUGAAUGUAAAUUGAUUUUCCUCCUCGUUCCCAUGAUGAAUUAUCUUCCUCAAGCUGUGCUACUGAGUGGUCAGAAAACACAGAAAGAAUGUGUCAGGAGCUUGAAGAAGAAGCAAAACAAUGGCCAUGUGAACAGAACAUGUGGAAAAAUCAGAACACAAGAAGGAGAAAAGGAGCCAUGAUGUUAAAGCUCUGUGAUGAAGUGGGAAUUAAGCAGCAUGCCAUCCUGCCACCACUCCCUCACCAUUGACCGGUGUUUCGCAUGUUUCUGCAGGAAACAGAUGCUUGGACACGUAUCAAAUCUCGCAAAAGCCACCAGCCAGAAAUGUGAUUGCAGAAGAACGGUCAGCAGUUAUGUCGAUUUUUUUUCCAAUCUGUUUUUAAAAGCAAAACUGAAAUAACUUUAACUGUAGAGAAGCGAAUCACACACAUCUCUUGUGGUAUCCUUUUUAAGUUUUGUAAUAAUCUUCUCUUCUCCCCUUCAUCUCAUCUAGUAAUUUUGAUCCCUUUUUGUUUCUUCUCUGGAUGUUUACAAACAAGUUUCUUAAC
rnacentral:lncRNA from 1 species